GACGAACGCUGGCGGCGUGCUUAACACAUGCAAGUCGAACGGAAAGGCCCUGCUUUUGUGGGGUGCUCGAGUGGCGAACGGGUGAGUAACACGUGAGUAACCUGCCCUUGACUUUGGGAUAACUUCAGGAAACUGGGGCUAAUACCGGAUAGGAGCUCCUGCUGCAUGGUGGGGGUUGGAAAGUUUCGGCGGUUGGGGAUGGACUCGCGGCUUAUCAGCUUGUUGGUGGGGUAGUGGCUUACCAAGGCUUUGACGGGUAGCCGGCCUGAGAGGGUGGCCGGCCACAUUGGGACUGCGAUACGGCCCAGUCUCCUACGGGAGGCAGCAGUGGAGAAUAUUGCCCAAUGGGCGGAAGCCUGAUGCAGCAACGCCGCGUGCGGGAUGACGGCCUUCGGGUUGUAAACCGCUUUCGCCUGUGACGAAGCGUGAGUGACGGUAAUGGGUAAAGAAGCACCGGCUAACUACGUG
rnacentral:rRNA from 1 species